UGUGGAUACUUAAACUUAGCAUUUAUCAUGCACCUUUGUGAAUAAUUAUGUUUUAAUUUUUAGUGAAAAUUGUUUAAGGAUUGCUACUUUCAAUAUUUCGGCAGCCGCCGAAGGCUGUAAUAUAAAAAUUGGAUAACUUUCUUCUUAUGUGUUCGUGUCUAACAAAUAAAACUAAGAACGUCUUCAAAAAGCGGUUUAAAAUACAUUUCUAUAAUUUUCCAUCCAAACUUAACAUACCGCUUUAUACAUAUAAUGAUCAGGCUUUACUUUAAUUAUAGGGCGUCGUAGCCUAUUCUUGCCUUAAGGAACCAAAUUUCACGCUUUAGGCAGUAUUAGUUAAGGUUGUUUUUUUAAUGAAUCUAGAGAUUUAGAAAAACUAAACAAUAGUUAGUUUCACAUAGGUUGCUUUCCGCAAUAUACAGUUGAACUUAAUAUAGACCGAUAGAAAGUGAAUUAUAAUAAAUUUGCUUUAAAAGCAUUUUGCACAAGGAAUUCCUAUUUUUUCUUGGUAUUUAACUGUAUUUCCUACGUACUACGUUAACAUGUUUUCCCAUUUAACUGUAGUUUGUCAUCAUAGUGAUUCGCAUGUCGAGAUCGUUAAAUAAACUUUCGAA